rnacentral:rRNA from 1 species
UACGUAGGGCGCAAGCGUUGUCCGGAAUUAUUGGGCGUAAAGAGCUCGUAGGCGGUUCGUUACGUCUGCCGUGAAAACCCGAGGCUUAACCUCGGGCCUGCGGUGGAUACGGGCGGACUAGAGGUAGGUAGGGGAGAAUGGAAUUCCCGGUGUAGCGGUGAAAUGCGCAGAUAUCGGGAGGAACACCGGUGGCGAAGGCGGUUCUCUGGGCCUUACCUGACGCUGAGGAGCGAAAGCGUGGGGAGCGAACAGG